UUGACUCCUUUACUUCCUAGAGACCACUCCACUGAUUUCUGAGGCUGUUAAUGCAAAUGAGUCUGCAGGAGAUGGUGGCCUGAAGGAGGGAAGGCAGCCAUGCUGAGCUCUGGCUGGGGUUCGCCAACUCCUGCUCCUAGGCCUCCGUCUCCUCCAGCUUGCUAACUGCACAGCUGACGGAGAGAUGGGAAGUAAGAGGAAAGCAAAGGCAUUGCUUGAUCACCACUGAAGCUAGUCGGUGUUUGUACUCUCUGGGCUUGGAGGUAUCUUCCAGACAUGAAGAGGAAAUGAGAUAGCAUCACCUCUUAACUAUUCCUUCAUCCCCUCCACACUUUCUUUUUGUCCUCUUUA